GAUGAACGCUGGCGGCGUGCUUAACACAUGCAAGUCGAACGGGAAUUACUUUAUUGAAACUUCGGUCGAUAUGAUUUAAUUCUAGUGGCGGACGGGUGAGUAACGCGUGGGUAACCUGCCUUGUACAGGGGGAUAACAGUCAGAAAUGACUGCUAAUACCGCAUAAGCGCACAGAGCUGCAUGGCUCGGUGUGAAAAACUCCGGUGGUAUAAGAUGGACCCGCGUUGGAUUAGCUAGUUGGUGAGGUAACGGCCCACCAAGGCGACGAUCCAUAGCCGGCCUGAGAGGGUGAACGGCCACAUUGGGACUGAGACACGGCCCAGACUCCUACGGGAGGCAGCAGUGGGGAAUAUUGCACAAUGGGGGAAACCCUGAUGCAGCGACGCCGCGUGAAGGAAGAAGUAUCUCGGUAUGUAAACUUCUAUCAGCAGGGAAGAAAAUGACGGUACCUGACUA
rnacentral:rRNA from 1 species